GACGAACCGUGCGAACGUUGUUCGGAAUCACUGGGCUUAAAGGGCGCGUAGGCGGGCAGGCAAGUCAGGGGUGAAAGCCCACGGCUCAACCGUGGAAGUGCCUUUGAUACUGCCGGUCUGGAGGGAGGUAGGGGCGUGCGGAACUUCCGGUGGAGCGGUGAAAUGCGUAGAUAUCGGAAGGAACACCGGUGGCGAAAGCGGCGCGCUGGACCUCUUCUGACGCUGAGGCGCGAAAGCCAGGGGAGCAAACGGG
rnacentral:rRNA from 1 species